GGGCUAUGCGUCAGCGCCAUAGCAUACGCCGGCGUUUGACGCAGAAGUAUAAAUCAGCCUUAAGUCAAGAACCAAAUGAAGCACCAGAGUACAGAUUAUGGAGGUAUCUGAAGUUGAACUAACUGGAAGCAGGGAACCAUACUAAUAAAGUUCCUUAAGCAGGUUCCUUGUAAAGAUUAACCCAGGGAAGGAUCGAAAGUGGAGAAGACCAGAUCAAGAAAGACUACAUCAAGAUCUGCGGUCAGUUCAAAGGAUGUUUUGCAUUGGACUGUUUUUUUUGGCUUUGACCCUUGCUUGCCCCUGACCUCACUCUUGGACUGCCCUGUUGGAUUUUCAGUUUAUUUAAUUAAAAAAAAAAAUUUUUGGUUAUGGGUAGAUGCUAAUAAAUAUUUAAUUGUAAUUAUUUAAUG